rnacentral:rRNA from 1 species
UACGUAGGGGCAAGCGUUGUCCGGAUUUAUUGGGCGUAAAGAGCGUGUAGGCGGCCAGACAGGUCAGCUGUGAAACUCGAGGCUCAACCUCGAGACGUCGGUUGAAACCGCCUGGCUAGAGUCCGGAAGAGGAGAGUGGAAUUCCCGGUGUAGCGGUGAAAUGCGCAGAUAUCGGGAAGAACACCCGUGGCGAAGGCGGCUCUCUGGGACGGUACUGACGCUGAGACGCGAAAGCGUGGGAGCCGAACGAGG